AUCACGCUCUGAGCCGAAGGCAGACGCUUAACGACUGCGCUACCCAGGCGCCCCUAAAAUGGUCUGUGAUGUCAUGAAGAUUUGCAUAAGGCUACCCAGCAUCCUCUGCGAAUGCACACUUAUUUCCAAAAUCUGAAUGUUCGACCCGAGAUGAUCCAACAACAAGAAGCCUCCUGUGCAGAUGGACCUUAAAUAUAAUUGCUGGAAGCAGAACGCAUUAUAUCUACGAACUUGCUGGCAGUCGCUCACCCUCAGUGUAAAGGUGUGCUGGAUUCCACUACACCGUGGCUGCCUCCAGUCUCGUCCUGUUAGGAAAGCCGGGGGUGUCCCCGCACGGAAGCCUUCAGGAGCCCUACCCUUGCGCAUGGCAGAUCCAGCGGGGCAGGCGUGGGCCACCACCCAUCAAACACUUCUCUGGUCUGUAAAAAGGAUGUGGUUAUUCAGGGCGAAGUUGGUGAACUGGCAUCUAUUGCUUCAAGGCGGCCCCGGGGAAAACCUCCCCAGCGGUAAAUUAGACCCAGUCCCUGCUUCAGGGAGCUCACAGUUUUGAGACAGACCACAAAUAAGUAAACGAACAAAUAAACUCGAAAAUUACAGAUUAUUUCAAUGCUAUGAAGAAAAUAAGCAGGGAGAUGUGGUGAAGCCAUCCAGAAGACCAGCUAAAUUCCGACAGCAGCUAUUCAGCACUUACUGGACCACACAAAAAGUGCGUAAUAUGCUUCAUUUCAUUUAGUUAACAGCUCGGUUGAGUUACAAUUGACAUUCACUAAAACACACAUAUUCAAAGCACACAAUUUUGCAAGUUUGAGACACGUACCCCCGUGACACCAUUACUGCAAUCUAGAUAGUGAACACGUUCAUCGCUCCCCCCCAAAAUUUCUGGUGUUCCUUUGUAAUCCAUCCCCACCUCCUAUCUCUUCCCACUCCCUGGUGUCACUAUAAUUUGCAUUUUCCAGAGUUCUAUAUAAAUGGAAUCGUAGGGCAUGUGAUUUGUUGAGAUUGACUUUUUCACCAAUGUCCUUGAGGUCCAUCCAGGUUGUUGCGUGUAUCGAUAGUUCAUUCCUUUCUGUCACUGAGUAGUAUUCCGUUUAUGGAAAUAGCAGUUUGCUCAACCAUUCACUCGUUGAAGGACAUGUGGGUUGCUGUCACCAGUAAAGCUCCUAGGAACAUUCCUGUACAAGUUUUGGUGAGCAAGGGCCCCUGGCUGGCUCAGUCAGUAGACCAUGUGACUCUGGAUCUUGGGGUCAUGAGCUCAAGCCCCAAGUUGGGCACAAAGCUCCCUAAAGAAGAAGAAGGGAAAAACAACAACUCCCAAGUUCUGUGUGAGCAUAAAUUUUUAAGUCUCUGGGCCAUAUGGGAAAUUACAUGUUUAGUUUUGUAACAAAUUGCCAGAUUGUUUUCCAGAGUGGCUGCAUCACUUUACUUUCCAUGCGCAGUUUGACAAGCCUCCCUGCCUCUUCUCUUUCCUUCCUGACUUUGAUUUUUUUGAAGAGCCCAAGACAGGCAUCUUGUAGAAAUUCCACAUUCUGACUUCAUCUGAUUGUGCCCCAAGGAGGUGUUGACAAACAUAUUCCUUUGUCACCCUAUAUUUCCUGUAACCAGGACUUCCCAGCUUGUUAGAUUCAAGUGAAGUUCAAGGGCGGCUCUGUGACCUUUGUACUGCAUCUUCUGCUGCCAGUGAUGCUGAAUUUAAGCACCUGGUUAAGGCAGUAAACUGCUCUGUCUCUACUGUUAAAGUAAUCUGUAAUCUGUGGAAUGAACACUUGCCAUAGGAACCAUUUGAGACUAAAAGCCCUUUGCUUUCCAUGACCACCCUCUUAAACAACUUUUUUGUUGUUAAACAACAAAUCUGGCGGAGUAGGAUAAAUUAAUGCCGCUCCUUCUCUGGAAGCCUAGAUAGGUUUCCUGGGACUGGGGGAUGCCCUGCAUUCAGGACCUAUGGUCCUAGGAAGUCAAAAAGAGUCCCCUGAUAAGCUAGUGGACCAGAACUGAGCAAACAUGAUGGAAAGAGGGGUCGGUGAACAUUCCUCAAAGGGGCAUUCUGGGAAGAAAAAGGUGGCGGGGGGCGCUUGGGUGGCUCAGUGGGAUAAGCGUCUGCCCUCGGCUCAGGUCAUGAUCCCAGUGGCAUUGGGAAGAGCGAGAAACAUGCUUCUCCCUCUCCCUGCUGCUCCCCUGCUUGUGCCCUCUCUCUCUCUGUCAUAUAAAUAAAUAAAAUCUU